AAUUCCUCCUCGUCGUCGUCUUCGUCUUCGUCUUCUUCUGAUAUACAAACUAUGCUCUUGGCCAUGGAGUUUUUGCUUGAUUUCAUUUUAACUGCUGCUUUUUCUUUUCUCUGCUCUUUCUUUCUCUCUAAGCUCCUCUCCGGAGCAACACCUGAUGAUCAUGGACAUGAUUUUAAAAAGAGAAUUGUCCAUGUGCAUGACCCUGAC
rnacentral:misc_RNA from 1 species